rnacentral:rRNA from 1 species
CGAAUGACCACGGGAAGCCGCUUCCGCAAGGCCCUUGUAGAGGUGCUCGUGCUGUCGUCAGCUCGUGUCGUGAGAUGUUGGGUUAAGUCCCGCAACGAGCGCAACCCUUGUUCCUGUUGCCAUCACGUUAUGGUGGGCACUCUGGAGAGACUGCCGGUGACAAACCGGAGGAAGGUGGGGAUGACGUCAAGUCAGCAUGGCCUUUAUGUCCAGGGCUACACACGUGCUACAAUGGCCGAUACAAACCGUCGCAAACUCGCAAGGGUGAGCUAAUCGGAGAAAGUCGGUCUCAGUUCGGAUUGUCGGCUGCAACUCGCCGGCAUGAAGUUGGAAUCGCUAGUAAUCGCGGAUCAGCAUGCCGCGGUGAAUACGUUCCCGGGCCUUGUACACACCGCCCGUCACAUCACGAAAGCUGGCUGUACUAGAAAUCGCUCCGCUAACCCGCAAGGGAGGCAGGCGCUUAAGGUAUGGUCAGUGAUUGGGGUGAAGUCGUAACAAGGUAACCGUAA